GCCAAUCAAGGAAGCACAAAGGAAGCAAGUAGGAGUGCAUUGUGCAACCAACCAUGUAGCUGAUUUGAAGCAUGUUUUUUACAAUCCAGCUGCCACGUUUUCCAUAUUUUCCAUGUGCAAAACAGCCAACCGUGGCUUCCCCUUGUUGCAGCACAUUCUCCAUGCUUUCCACGUGAUAAAUGAGUUUCUCAUGGGAAUUGAAACACACGUGGAUCAAAGCUUCUGCUGCACAUGCUUUGUAAAUCUUAGUAGCUUCCCUAGCAAGAUUCAUAGCCUCUCUUAUUCUAUAAAAGAGAGCUUCCUCAUGUGUAAAUAUUAACUUGAAUGAUAGUAAUGAGAU
rnacentral:lncRNA from 1 species